UUUAUAUUAUUAUAUAAAGCUGCAUAUAGUUAAGAUGUUAGUUUGUGAAGCACUGUUGAGUACUAGCUCCAGGAAUCAAUUGGUACGUUAGCAAGCUAACUGUUAGCUAACGUUACUAGCAUAAACGUCAUUUCCUGAAACGUAGCAAGCUACGUAUGUAGGAACCAAACUAUGUACUUGAAAUGACAAGAGACAUGCAUAAUGUGUUAUAGCUAGGAGGACAACGUUAGUUAUCUCGUCAAUUUGGCGUUUUAUGUGAAUCAAUCUGAGCGUUGUGGUGAAUCUGUGUUUUUUUUUUUAGCUAGCCCGCUGCAUGCUAGCGAGCAUCAGCUAGUUAGCCAACAUCAGUCCACUUUUAGCUAGUUUGGGUGCGAAUUCGACGAGUGUUGUAAAAUGUCAAGCGAGGUAAUGUCGAGGAUAUCUGCGCUGCACUUUGGACUGUGCCUGAGGGCAAGUCUAUAGAAAAACUGAUCACAGGAGAGGAAAGGCUUGCCACAGUGCGGACUUUGGUGGUGUCUCACCUUGUGGAAAAAUGUGGAGAAACGAACCAGAGAGUGAGUCAUCAAGAACAGACAUCUACUACAAUUUGAGGGGCACCCUGGGCGAUGCUGUCCAUGAUCCAUCCUUAGGUCUGGGCUCAGGUUGCAAUGCUUGGAGGAAAUCUCAGGUGACCAGAGUGAGCUAACCCCUUGGUAACGCUGUCCCAGGGACAGGGCUGGCCCAGAUUUGUCUUAAAGAAUUUUCCAUGACUGUGAACACAGAGAGCUAAGGUAAAGUAAACGGUGACUUUGAACAAAGGUUUUUGCGUUAUGUUGGCUCAAAUGUGGAAAAAAAAGAGAAUGAUCCCCUAAAAAUGAACUCCAAGAAGACUUGAGGUUAUAGAGGUUUACAAUGACAACAGUCAGACCAAUUGCAAACCUGCCGACCUUAAGACAUUUUAUGGGAGAGCUUUUUAAAAAAGAUCUGUGUUUGUGUGGACUUAGCCUGCUAGCUUCUGAUCCCGAGCGAACGAUGGUAAUUAAAGAAGAAGGAGAGUGUUAUUGCAGUGGGAACUCAUUUAUGCAUAACAACAGUAAGUAGAUACAACAUUGUAAGAGAUGAGGUGGGCUGUCUGCUCUAUGAAUGAGUCUUACACAGACAGGAAAUAAUGUAGUACAAGCCUACAAAUCACAGCCUUAACGGCAGCUUGAUGAUUUUUUUGGAGCUGCAACUCACGCUACAUGCAGAGACUAAAGGCUUCAUUAAAGGGGACCUAUUAUGCUCAUUUUUUCGACCCUUUGUAUUGAGUUGUGGUCUCCUAUAGAGCAGCUACACCCGUAC